rnacentral:rRNA from 1 species
UACGGGGGGAGCAAGCGUUGUUCGGAUUUACUGGGCGUAAAGGGCGCGUAGGCGGCCACCGCAAGUCGACUGUGAAAUUUCCGGGCUUAACCCGGAAAGGUCAGCCGAUACUGUGGGGCUAGAGUGCAGAAGGGGCAACUGGAAUUCUCGGUGUAGCGGUGAAAUGCGUAGAGAUCGGGAGGAAGGCCGGUGGCGAAGGCGGCGCUCUGGAACGUUUCUGACACUGAGGCUCGAAAGCGUGGGGAGCAAACAGG